UGGCUGUGCUGCUUUUUCCGCCAAAGGAAAGACAUCAUUAGUGAGUGUUAUUGGGUGGAAUGGACGUCAAACAUUCUAUUGGAACUCAAAUCUGUCGAUAGGUCGUGCCGUGAACUGUAUUUCAUCAGCCGUGAAAACCGUGCUUUACUCCGACCAUGCAUCAGGCGAACGCACCUGGCUCUUUUUCUCCCUUUCCCCGUUGGUUGCGGACACAGAGGGGGACUGUCUUCGCUCUCUUCUCGCCACUGUCUGAUAGCACAGACAAAACUCUUGUAUCACAAUCACAUCCAACCACGAGCAAGGAAACAACACCAGAGAUGUCCGACCAUAUCGGCCGACCAAAAUUAUCGGCCCGAUAUUAGCAUCAUUUUGUAAUAUCUAAUAAUAUAUAAUUCCAGGACAGAAGGUACUGUAUGUGAUGGGACC